AUUGAACGCUGGCGGCAGGCCUAACACAUGCAAGUCGAACGAGUGGCGGACGGGUGAGUAAUGUCUGGGAAACUGCCUGAUGGAGGGGGAUAACUACUGGAACCGGUAGCUAAUACCGCAUACCAUCAGAUGUGCCCAGAUGGGAUUAGCUUGUAGGUGGGGUAAUGGCUCACCUAGGCCACGAUCCCUAGCUGGUCUGAGAGGAUGACCAGCCACACUGGAACUGGGAAACGGUCCAGAGUCCUACGGGAGGCAGAAGUGGGGAAUAUGGCACAAUGGGCGCAAGCCUGAUGCAGCAAUGCCGCGUGUGUGAGGAAGGCCUUCGGGUUGUAAAGCACUUUCAGCGAGGAGGCGUUACUCACAGAAGAAGCACCGGCUAACUCCGUGCCAGCAGCCGCGGUAAUAC
rnacentral:rRNA from 1 species